ACCUGUUUUGGGACUACAAAUCCCAUCAUCCCUGACCGCCGGUCCUGUUAGCUAGGGAUGAUGGGAGUUGUAGUCCCAAAACAGCU